rnacentral:rRNA from 1 species
AUACGUAGGGGGCGAGCGUUGUCCGGAAUGAUUGGGCGUAAAGGGCGCGUAGGCGGCCCGGUAAGUCUGGAGUGAAAGUCCUGCUUUUAAGGUGGGAAUUGCUUUGGAUACUGUCGGGCUUGAGUGCAGGAGAGGUAAGUGGAAUUCCCAGUGUAGCGGGGAAAUGCGUAGAGAUUGGGAGGAACACCAGUGGCGAAGGCGACUUACUGGACUGUAACUGACGCUGAGGCGCGAAAGUGUGGGGAGCAAACAGGAUUAGAUACCCUGGUAGUCCACACUGUAAACGAUGAAUGCUAGGUGUAGGGGGUAUCGACCCCUUCUGUGCCGCAGUUAACACAAUAAGCAUUCCGCCUGGGGAGUACGGCCGCAAGGUUGAAACUCAAAUGAAUGGGCGGGG